rnacentral:rRNA from 1 species
AUACGGGGGAUGCAAGCGUUAUUCGGAAUCAUUGGGCGUAAAGGGCACGCAGGCGGUUCUGUCAGUCAGAUGUGAAAGCCCGGGGCUUAACCCCGGACGUGCAUUUGAAACAGCAGGACUUGAGUAUGAUAGAGAAAAGCGGAAUUCCUGGUGUAGAGGUGAAAUUCGUAGAUAUCAGGAGGAACACCGGUGGCGAAGGCGGCUUUCUGGACCAAAACUGACGCUGAGGUGCGAAGGCGUGGGUAGCGAACAGGAUUAGAUACCCCAGUAGUCC